UCUUCCAUAGCUCAGUCGGUAGAGCAUGCGGCUGUUAACCGCACGGUCAUUGGUUCGAGUCCAAUUGGAAGAG
rnacentral:tRNA from 1 species